rnacentral:rRNA from 1 species
UGAACGCUGGCGGCGUGCUUAACACAUGCAAGUCGAGCGAAGCAGUUAAGAAGAUUCUUCGGAUGAAACUUGAUUGACUGAGCGGCGGACGGGUGAGUAACGCGUGGGUGACCUGCCCCAUACCGGGGGAUAACAGCUGGAAACGGCUGCUAAUACCGCAUAAGCGCACAGAGCUGCAUGGCUCGGUGUGAAAAACUCCGGUGGUAUGGGAUGGGCCCGCGUCUGAUUAGGCAGUUGGCGGGGUAACGGCCCACCAAACCGACGAUCAGUAGCCGGACUGAGAGGUUGAACGGCCACAUUGGGACUGAGACACGGCCCAGACUCCUACGGGAGGCAGCAGUGGGGAAUAUUGCACAAUGGGGGAAACCCUGAUGCAGCGACGCCGCGUGGAGGAAGAAGGUCUUCGGAUUGUAAACUCCUGUUGUUGAGGAAGAUAAUGACGGUACUCAACAAGGAAGUGACGGCUAACUACGUGCCAGCAGCCGCGGUAAAACGUAGGUCACAAGCGUUGUCCGGAAUUACUGGGUGUAAAGGGAGCGCAGGCGGGAAGACAAGUUGGAAGUGAAAUCUAUGGGCUCAACCCAUAAACUGCUUUCAAAACUGUUUUUCUUGAGUAGUGCAGAGGUAGGCGGAAUUCCCGGUGUAGCGGUGGAAUGCGUAGAUAUCGGGAGGAACACCAGUGGCGAAGGCGGCCUACUGGGCACCAACUGACGCUGAGGCUCGAAAGUGUGGGUAGCAAACAGGAUUAGAUACCCUGGUAGUCCACACCGUAAACGAUGAUUACUAGGUGUUGGAGGAUUGACCCCUUCAGUGCCGCAGUUAACACAAUAAGUAAUCCACCUGGGGAGUACGACCGCAAGGUUGAAACUCAAAGGAAUUGACGGGGGCCCGCACAAGCAGUGGAGUAUGUGGUUUAAUUCGACGCAACGCGAAGAACCUUACCAAGUCUUGACAUCCUGCGGCGAUGCUGGAAACAGUAUUUUCCUUCGGGACGCAGAGACAGGUGGUGCAUGGUUGUCGUCAGCUCGUGUCGUGAGAUGUUGGGUUAAGUCCCGCAACGAGCGCAACCCUUACUGUCAGUUACUACGCAAGAGGACUCUGGCAGGACUGCCGUUGACAAAACGGAGGAAGGUGGGGAUGACGUCAAAUCAUCAUGCCCUUUAUGACUUGGGCUACACACGUACUACAAUGGCGUUAAACAAAGAGAAGCAAGACCGCGAGGUGGAGCAAAACUCAGAAACAACGUCCCAGUUCGGACUGCAGGCUGCAACUCGCCUGCACGAAGUCGGAAUUGCUAGUAAUCGUGGAUCAGCAUGCCACGGUGAAUACGUUCCCGGGCCUUGCACUCACCGCCCGUCA